rnacentral:rRNA from 1 species
UACGGGAAGGGCAAGCGUUAUUCGGCAUGACUGGGCGUAAAGAGUCCGUAGACGGUAAAACAAGUUUUUUGUUAAAUCUUAAGACCCAAUCUUAACGCAGCAAUUAAUACUGUUUUACUACGAGUUUAAUACAGAAAAGUAGAAUUUUAUACGAUAGAGGUGAAAUUUGUAAAUAUAUAAAGGAAUGCCAAUAGCGAAGGCAACUUUUUGGUAUAGACUGACGUUGAGGGACGAAAGCGUGGGUAGCAAACGGG